CUCUUCUUGAAUAUAUUAUGAUGUAUGGCCUGCCCACUGAGUGUUGAAGGGCCGCGGUAUUUUGACCGUGCAAAGGUAGCAUAAUCAUUAGUCUUUUAAUUGUAGGCUGGAAUGAAUGGUUUGACGAGGUGUAAACUGUCUUUAAUUUAUUUGUUGAAUUUAAAUUUUAGGUUAAAAUGCCUAAAUUUUUUUUUGGGACGAGAAGACCCUAUAGAGUUUUAUAUGUUUUUAUUUUUUUUGUGUGAUAAUUUUAAAUUUAAGAAUUUAUUUUGUUGGGGUGAUGGGAAGAUUUAAUUAACUCUUUUUAUUUUUUUUAUAUUUAUUUAUAUGUAUUUGAUCCAUUUUUGUUGAUUAUAAGGCUAAAUUACC
rnacentral:rRNA from 1 species